AAAGGGAGACCUAAUUCAGGUAGGAGACGAAAAAAAAGUAGUCGCUACCAAGAAUCAAUCCCAAAAGGUCGGAGCGAGGCGAAAUUGGCUUUCAAACUAGGUUCUGGGUUCAAACAAGACCUGAAUCAGGAACAAGGGCUAUUAGCUCAGGUGGUUAGAGCGCACCCCUGAUAAGGGUGAGGUCCCUGGUUCGAGUCCAGGAUGGCCCACCUGUACAGGUGGCAAAAAGAAAGAAAAGAAGCGAGGAAUCAGCACCUUAUCUUACUUAUAUAGUAAGAGAGAAUGCUGGCUCUGAGUAAAGAGUCCAGAGGAACCUUGAAAACUGCAUAGAGCUAGGUGAAAAAGCCAAAAAAGAAGACCGCAAG
rnacentral:tRNA from 1 species